AUAGAUUUUAUGCAGUAUUCAAUUCAUCUGAUCGUGUUUUAUCUGUAAUUUUUAUGGGUUGUCAUAUAUACUUCAAAUACCUAUGAAUAUAAUCGUUUGUUGAAACAAAAUAUACUAAAUUACUGCGAGUGUGAGCAAUUGUGUAUAUAUAGUACACCUAAAUAAAUGAAAUAAUAUACACAAAUGGAUGUUGAAUUGUACAUAUAUAAUAAAUAGACAGAAGAACCUUCUUGAAAAUAAUGGGUGUGAAUUGAUUGUUAAAAACUUCAAUGGAAUAGUUGGAGAUUUAUUCAAAAACGAAUGGCAGAACCGUAACAAAUCAAGAAAAGGAUGCAGAUAUACGGACGAAAUAAAAAAAUUUGCAUUAACGUUACAUUUCUAUUCGCCAAAAGCCUACAGCUACUGCAGAUCACUUCUUCAUUUACCACACGCCAGCAGCAUAAGAAAUUGGUUGUUUUCAAUUAACGGGAAACCAGGAUUUUAAAAAAAUGUUUUUGAAGAGAUUUCCAAAUUUCCACCUCAAUCACGAAACUGCAAUCUGAUCUUUGAUUCGAUGGCAAUACGGAAACAACUUAUAUGGGACAAAUCGAAAGAAAAAUUCGUUGGGACGUGCGAUUACGGCAAUGACAUUACAAUCGAAGAUUCAGAAACAUAUGCAUCCGAAGUUUUAGUGUUUAUGCUGGUUUCAUUGAGCGGAAAGUUGAAAUGGCCCGUUCAGAAAAUUUCUGAUAAAAAAAAAAUUGAUAAUGUAUACAAUACUAGUUGAUCUAAAAAAUAACGGAGGAUUGGUAUAUGCAUCACAUGAUGUAUAUAAGAUUGUUUGCAGUACCGAAAAGGAAUUCUCUUUUUUAAUAGGAGAUAGCCGUACACAGAUUCCAAAAAGAGGUGCAUACAAUGAAAUUGUUACUCGAAUAACAAGAAAAUUUGUAUUAAAUACUGAUAUAUUUCCAUUAGAUAAUAGAUGCUUUGACGGAUUAGAAGUUGGAGUAGACACUCCACAUCGUGUUCAACUAAUAACUGCUAUAAUAUUAUGUCUAAGGAAUAAAUUGUCUAAGGAAAA